GACGAACGCUGGCGGCGUGCUUAACACAUGCAAGUCGAACGGAAAGGCCCGGCUUUGGUGGGGUGCUCGAGUGGCCAACGGGAGAGUAACACGUGAGUAACCUGCCCUUGAGUUUGGGAUAACUUCAGGAAACUGGGGCUAAUACCGGAUAGGAGCUCCUGCUGCAUGGUGGGGGUGGGAAAGUUUCGGCGGUUGGGGAUGGACUCGCGGCUUAUCAGCUUGUUGGUUGGGUAGUGGCUUACCAAGGCUUUGACGGGUAGCCGGCCUGAGAGGGUAACAGGAUCAAUUGGGAUGGAGAUGAGACACAGACCACUACGGGACGCGGCGGUGGAGAAUGGUGUAUAAUGGGAGGAAGGCAAAUGUAGCCAAGCCGCGUGCGGGAUGACGGCAAUGCCGUAGUAAACCGCUUCCGUCUGUGACGAGGAGUGAAUGACGGUAAUGGGUAAAGAAGCACCGGCUAACUACGUG
rnacentral:rRNA from 1 species